rnacentral:rRNA from 1 species
UACGAGUGCCCCAAGCGUUAUCCGGAAUCAUUGGGCGUAAAGGGUGUGUAGGCGGUCAUGUUAGUCUUCUGUUAAAUUCUUCGGCUCAACCGGGGACCUGCGGAGGAAACGGCACGACUAGAGGAUGCGAGAGGUGAAUGGAACUCAUGGAGUAGGGGUGAAAUCCGUUGAUAUCAUGGGGAACACCAAAAGCGAAGGCAAUUCACUGGCGCACUCCUGACGCUGAGACACGAAAGCGUAGGUAGCGAAUGGG